rnacentral:rRNA from 1 species
CAGCCGCCGCGGGAAUACGAAGGGGGCUAGCGUUGUUCGGAUUUACUGGGCGUAAAGGGCGCGUAGGCGGGCUGAUAAGUCAGGGGUGAAAUCCCAAGGCUCAACCUUGGAACUGCCUUUGAUACUGUUUGUCUUGAGUUCGAGAGAGGUAAGUGGAACUGCGAGUGUAGAGGUGAAAUUCGUAGAUAUUCGCAAGAACACCAGUGGCGAAGGCGGCUUACUGGCUCGAAACUGACGCUGAGGCACGAAAGCUAGGGGAGCAAACAGGAUUAGAUACCCCUGUAGUCCCUGUCUCUUAUAC